rnacentral:sRNA from 1 species
GAUUCUUUUUGCUUCUCAAAACUUUGAUGGUGAAGCCGAAGUCUGUAUGAGUCUUUGCCUUUCUAUCUUCUAACAAGGAAACACUACUUACGCUUUCAAGAUUCGCUUAAGGUUCUAGUUCUUAUACUCAAUCAUACACAUGACAUCUAGUCAUAUUUGACUCCAAAGCACUAACCAAGCUUCUUCUUGCUUUUCAAAGAUUAGAUACGGAAGCCGAAGUUUGUAUUAGUCUUUGGCUUUGUAUCUUCUGAAAAGGAAACACUACUUACGCUUUUAAGAUCCAGUUACUGUUCUAGUUCUUUUACUCAAUCAGACACAUG